GUUGCUGCCAGCUUGUGAGUGCAUCAAUUUUCUUUUCUUUUUCUAGUGGAAGGUCACGUUAAUCCUUGAAGGAAUUGGUUUACAUGAACCAAAAUCAAAUCAAAGAAAAUUUCCUUUCCUCUUUCAACGCGUGUCCAUACCUCAAGAAGCUUUAUUUUUUCAUUUUUUAUUCCCUUAUUCCUUUAGUUUUGAAUGUUAGAAAUAUACUUAGUAAUAAAAUUGAAAAUACAAUCAAAUACCUUUAAUAUAAAAAAAUAAACUCAAACUAAUUAGUCACUUAAUUCUAUUUAAUUUUGCUGAUUAUUUU
rnacentral:lncRNA from 1 species